rnacentral:ribozyme from 1 species
UCCAAUAAAGUGUCAAAUGAUAUAGUAAGAACAAUAGCUAAUAAAAUAAGACUAUUUGAUUACAUUGUAGGUAUCGGUAUAUUUCAUGUUUCUUAUGGUACAGUUAAUUUUCUAGAAUUGCUGUACGGGUUGCGGGUAUGAUGCAGCAGGAUAUCCGGCUUGCUGCUGC